rnacentral:rRNA from 1 species
UACGGAGGGUGCAAGCGUUGUCCGGAAUCACUGGGCGUAAAGGGCGCGUAGGCGGCUCAUGAAGGCUGUGGUGAAAGUCCGGGGCUCAACCUCGGAUCGGCCGUGGCGACUCGUGGGCUGGAGCACUGUAGAGGCGGGUGGAAUUCCGGGUGUAGCGGUGGAAUGCGUAGAGAUCCGGAAGAACACCGGUGGCGAAGGCGGCCUGCUGGGCAGCGGCUGACGCUGAGGCGCGACAGCGUGGGGAGCAAACAGG